UAAUUUAAUACAGGCAAAAGGGGAAUAUUCCUUUUUUAUCUCUGUUAUUAAUUCAAGAUGAAUUGUAAUUAUACAUUUACUUCCUUUUUAAAAACAGAUUUACUGGUAGGACCAUAUUACCCCUAGAAUACUUUUGGCAUUUUCAGAGCUUGAGGAUGCCUUUCCUCUGCACACACGCUGGCUCCUGAAAAGGUGUAAGGAAAAGGGACUGAACUACACAAGCCCACU
rnacentral:lncRNA from 1 species